rnacentral:rRNA from 1 species
UGGUGAAUCCUGCAGCUUAACUGUAGAACUGCCAUUGAUACUGAUAUUCUUGAAUAUAGUUGAGGUGGGCGGAAUGUGUAAUGUAGCGGUGAAAUGCUUAGAUAUUACACAGAACACCAAUUGCGAAGGCAGCUCACUAAACUAAUAUUGACGCUGAGGCACGAAAGCGUGGGUAGCAAACAGGAUUAGAUACCCUGGUAGUCCACGCUGUAAACUAUGAUCACUCGCUGUUGGCAAUACAUCGUCAGCGGCUGAGCGAAAGCAUUAAGUGAUCCACCUGGGGAGUACGGUCGCAAGAUUGAAACUCAAAGGAAUUGACGGGGGCCCGCACAAGCGGAGGAACAUGUGGUUUAAUUCGAUGAUACGCGAGGAACCUUACCUGGGCUUAAAUGCAGAGCGACGUCCGCCGAAAGGUGGAUUCCUUCGGGCGAUCUGCAAGGUGCUGCAUGGUUGUCGUCAGCUCGUGCCGUGAGGUGUCGGGUUAAGUCCCAUAACGAGCGCAACCCUUAUCGUUAGUUGCCAGCGGGUAAUGCCGGGGACUCUAACGAAACUGCCGGUGUAAACCGUGAGGAAGGUGGGGAUGACGUCAAAUCAGCACGGCCCUUAUGUCCAGGGCUACACACGUGUUACAAUGGUCGGUACAGAGGGCAGCUACCACGCAAGUGGAUGCUAAUCUCGAAAACCGGUCUCAGUUCGGAUUGAAGUCUGCAACUCGACUUCAUGAAGCUGGAUUCGC